rnacentral:rRNA from 1 species
UACGUAGGGUGCGAGCGUUAAUCGGAAUUACUGGGCGUAAAGCGUGCGCAGGCGGUUUUGUAAGCCAGACGUGAAAGCCCCGGGCUUAACCUGGGAAUGGCAUUUGGGACUGCAAGGCUUGAGUGCGGCAGAGGAGACUGGAAUUCCUGGUGUAGCAGUGAAAUGCGUAGAUAUCAGGAGGAAUACCGAUGGCGAAGGCAGGUCUCUGGGCUGACACUGACGCUCAUGCACGAAAGCGUGGGGAGCAAACAGG